UAUUUCACCCUCCAUGUAAAUAGACUACCUACGGGGCCCUUUUCACUUUUACUACUUCUUCUUCCUCUCGUCUCCAAUGCCACAUCCGAGCUCGCCGGAGUUCAAGUCAUGAGAGGGCUCAUCCCCACGUUGUCUUCACCGGAGUCCAUCUGCAUCACCUGUGGCCUUCCUUGGGAGCACUACAACCCGCGAAGAUCUCCUCUGCUCGAAUCUCACGAGUCCCGAUUAACUUUUAGGUCUAUGUUGUUCUUCAUAGUUCAUCAGAGAUGUUGCCUCAAUUUCAUCAAAGUUUAUCAACACCUUAGUUGUUGAUCUAGUUGCUUGUGCAACCUUCAUCGAUGGUGAUUAGUUUCAUCUCCGCUGUGUUCCUAUAGCAUUGUGGAUCUGCCUUGGUUUGUCCAUAAGAUUCGCAGAGGCUCCCACUUUUAGCGUUUUUGCUAGUUUUAGGGCCUUUUAUCAUCUUUUUUCCGUAUUUAUUAGAUCCAUCCAUCUCACUACUUUGGGAUAGAAAAUGUUUGUUCAUCCACUGCUUUAGAAAAAUUUCUAAGUGCUUUAGACCUCAUCAGUAGCAAACUCUCAUACUAGUUUGCAAUUCCUUGGUCGUAUUUUAGCCUCCUUAAGCUAGUGCCGACUCAUAUGUACUUUCCAAAUUUCCUUUGGAGAAAUGGCCCCUAAAACCAACAAAGCGGUUAACUGGACGAAGUCAAUCAUGUCUGAACUUGUCUUGCAAGAUUGGGUUGACUGCAGGUUUUUGCCUCCCAAAGGGGAAAUACAAUGGUGUGCCCGUGAAGAAGAAACUAACCCUAGGCCGGGUCAAAAUGAAAUCAUUUGUUUCGUGGACCAUAUUGACAGAGGUUUCCACCCGUGUGGUUCAAAAUUCUUCCGUGAUGUGCUCCACCACUUCAACAUCAAACCUCAAGACCUUGGUCCCAAAUCUAUCUUAAACUUGUACCAAUUUCAAGCAUUCUGCAAGAUGUAUCUUCAAAUGGAGACGAAGAUAAAUCUAUUUAAGGAAUUUUUACUUCAACCACCAGACGGAAUGCAAAAAUGGAUCGAGUGUAGAACUUGGAGGGGUCACUGUUCAAAGGAGGAAAAACUGAGUCUUCCCUGAUGUGUCCUUCAGUGAUCCAAAAGGAUGGAGGAAGACCUCGUUUUAUUGCACAGCCACUUCUCCUCCGGGUCAAAAUAGAUUGUCGGAUUAUAGAUCUAGCCGGCGCAGCACCACAAUGGCUUUCCUUGUUUUGCUCAUGGGGAAGAGAGGCAAAUAAUGGGAUUAAUUUAUUCCAAGAUCCAAGCACUGGUUGCCCUUGGGCUUACUGGUAUCGAUUUGACUCGGUGCUUUGUCGGCUGGCGGGUCUAACCUCUUUGCCAAAGGACCAAGCUGAUGCAUCAGUACAGUGGAUAACCGACUAAUGAUAUGCGCUUCAGUCUAGUGGAUCUGCGGAAACUAGAGUUAAGUGAGUAGUUAAGAAGCUACCCGGGGCAAAAUAGCCUUUGUUGGUCUCGCCCAAUUUUUUACUGGUAACCCGACUCCUCCAAUAAGUCAAAUUCCCUUCGCUGUGUUUCUUGUAGUUUUUUGUUAUUUUCACUUGUUGAUUAUUCCUCUUUUAUCACUUUGGCUCACGAAUAUUUCUGGUCGUGGAAUACUUGAUCCUGAGUCGUCCCCCCUCCUCAAGAAAACAUAGAAGAGUCGGGAAAUAAUGAGGACGCCGAGGUAGACGUUGACUUCCUGGUCUAUUUGUUUAACCAACUUCCUGAUGCUAAUUCUUCUCAGGAACAUGUUGAGUCAAAUCGAGCCAGUGAUACUGAGGUAAACCUUGCUCCAAACUUGGAACCAUUUAUCACAAAGAGGGUGAGACUAGUUGUCUGCAAGUGAAAGACAUGGAGCAGCUCUACACAGCUUUCAAGUGGGCUUCCAAAUGAGCCAACUCCCAGAAAGGCAAGGACCCAGGAGAAGUUUAGUCACACGAUGUCUCAUCGACAAGCUGGCCAAUUCAAAGAGCCGUUGGAUCCCACCAACCCGGUAUAUGAGUAAAACCCCUCAUCUCAUGGAUCUAGCUCAAGUAUCGGCUUUUAACAUUAACCAUGGGACAUUUUGAAGAGUCAAAUUGGCGGGUCAUCAUCUUCUGCAAUGGAUAUUGAUACUGCACCUCAAAAUCCUUCAACUUCUCUAGAGCCUCAAGCUCCCAGAGUCCUUGAUGAUGAGCCGACAUUUCAGAAUGAGCCAACUUUGCCACAUGAGCCGGAUAUGCCCGCCUGUGUCUCAAAUCCAGUAAAAACAACACAUGUGCCCACUUCCGAGCCGGAAUUGGAGAUUGUUCAAGAAUAUGUGGCUAUUGUGGGUGAUGUGUAAGGUACUCCUCCAGUGCAUUCUACCACCUUGGUUGAGAUAAUAGCUAAGGAAGAGUCACCUAGCAAGGACAAAGAAAAACUAGCCUACAAUAUUCAUCUUAUGAAGACUUGGAUGUAAAUUCCUUGCAUUAGAAUCCUUGACCUGGAUAUCUGAGAGUCGGGACGCAGAAGCUAUGAUGAUCCAUACUCUAAAGAGAAAAUACAAGGAAAUGUUGAACCAGACGGAAACACAAGUUGUAGGAUUGUUGAAAAAUCCGAAGGUUGAGAAGAAACUACGAGAAAAAGGAAAAAGAUGUAUUCAGACUUCCACAAGUCUCUACUCGUGUGCAGAGAACAAUUGCAAAGGCACAAGAAGAUUUUGAAAUAGAGAAAGUCGUCUUGAUUGAUCAUGCUGAAAAGGCCGAGCCCGUGGCCAAAGAGCUGUAAACUCUCUAUGGCCAUAUUCAGUCAAUGUGCAUAGCCAUCUUUGGUAAGUGCUCGUUGCCUUACUGUGAUUUUUCCAGAAAAAAUAUUACUGGAUCAAAAAUGUGUUAGGGUACCUGAUUUAGUGUGUUUGCUUUGACAGGAAGAAAAUAUCAUAGUUUGAGGGAGCUGCCCUUGACCAAACUAAAUGCUUGUUAUAAAUUUAUGGAUCAACUCUAGGUAGGUGGUGCCAAUUGUAUUAUGGCAAUCAAGAACACAAAGGCACCACCGUAUUAUAUGAUGGAUAUGUUGAAUGAUCUAUCAAUUGUACCACAACGGAUCAAAGAAUUGAAAAAAUCGCUUGCCUAUCUAGAGUAAUGAGUCCGUUGACGUGGGCUAAAGCAUAUCACCCGGAGAUGAAUCAGGAUCUUCUAGCGGGAGGAUUUAUAGGUUCAAUGUUGACAACACUACUUUCACCAAAAAGAAUUAUCUCCGAUGUAUGAGAUCAACCCGAGUUGCGACAACUAAAAUCACCGAGGAGUUGGACUUGACAAAAUUUGAAGCCAGAUAUGAUGACAAUGGGGAAUGCCAAGAUUGUCGUGCCAAAACCGUUUGAGCUGGCUUUCCCACGUAAGCAAUCUUUUGCCUCAGACAUCGAUACUUGCUUAAAGACACCACAAUUUUUUAAGCUUUGUCUUCAAUUCCAUGGCUGCAAGACGACACCCAACAAAGGAAGCGACUGAAGCUGAUGAGACGACACAAACUCAACCUGGCAACACACGAUCCAAAGUAUUCUACGGCCGGGUCAUUGAUGCCAUACUUUUUUGCUUUUAAAACUUAGUCAAACGUAUUCUAUGGUAGGCUUGUAACAGGUUUAGUAAACUUUGUGGUAUUUGAGAAACUGCCAUCGUGCGUUGCAUAUUUAUUGUGAACUUUGGAUGAGAAAA